rnacentral:rRNA from 1 species
AACGAACGCUGGCGGCAUGCCUAACACAUGCAAGUCGAACGAGAUCUUCGGGUCUAGUGGCGCACGGGUGCGUAACGCGUGGGAAUCUGCCCUUUGGUUCGGAAUAACAGUUGGAAACGACUGCUAAUACCGGAUGAUGACGAAAGUCCAAAGAUUUAUCGCCAGAGGAUGAGCCCGCGUAGGAUUAGCUAGUUGGUGUGGUAAAGGCGCACCAAGGCGACGAACCUUAGCUGGUCGGAGAGGAUGACCAGCCACACUGGGACUGAGACACGGCCCAGACUCCUACGGGAGGCAGCAGUGGGGAAGAUUGGACAAUGGGCGAAAGCCUGAUCCAGCAAUGCCGCGUGAGUGAUGAAGGCCUUAGGGUUGUAAAGCUCUUUUACCCGGGAUGAUAAUGACAGUACCGGGAGAAUAAGCUCCGGCUAGCUCCGUGCCAGCAGCCGCCGUAA